CACUUCAUUAGAAAAUUUAAUUUUUUUUUUUUUACUUUAAAUAUUUUAUUAUUAUAAACAGAAACUACCAUAAGAAAAUAGAAACUCACGUCAAAGUGCGAAUAAGAAUAGUUUGAACAACAAUUUUCAUUCAAAACUAAACUUCCACUGUCUCUAUUUUCUAUGGGAUGGCGUAGGUGUAGGUUUUGUGAAGAAGAAAAGAAAAAAGAAGAAGUUGCAAUUAUUAGGUGUUGGACGUUUAAGCUGUACAUCAUUUCCAACAGGUGCUUAAUAGAAAUUAUAUAAAGAAAUCAUGCACAAGAAGAAAACUCACCUCAAGAGUUUAAGGACUGUUAAAAUCCUUAAAACAACAAAACAGCCGGCUCCAAUGGUCUGCCUGUAGAACUCUUGAACCACAUAGGUGAUGGCAAGAACCAAAUCAUUUACCAAGUAUGAGCGCAAUAAAACAUGCUCAAAUUUUCCAAGCUUUAAA